rnacentral:rRNA from 1 species
AGUGAACGCUGGCGGUAGGCCUAACACAUGCAAGUCGAACGGCAGCACAGUAAGAGCUUGCUCUUACGGGUGGCGAGUGGCGGACGGGUGAGGAAUACAUCGGAAUCUACUUUUUCGUGGGGGAUAACGUAGGGAAACUUACGCUAAUACCGCAUACGACCUACGGGUGAAAGCAGGGGAUCUUCGGACCUUGCGCGAUUGAAUGAGCCGAUGUCGGAUUAGCUAGUUGGCGGGGUAAAGGCCCACCAAGGCGACGAUCCGUAGCUGGUCUGAGAGGAUGAUCAGCCGCACUGGAACUGAGACACGGUCCAGACUCCUACGGGAGGCAGCAGUGGGGAAUAUUGGACAAUGGGCGCAAGCCUGAUCCAGCCAUACCGCGUGGGUGAAGAAGGCCUUCGGGUUGUAAAGCCCUUUUGUUGGGAAAGAAAAGCAGCAGGUUAAUACCCCGCUGUUCUGACGGUACCCAAAGAAUAAGCACCGGCUAACUUUGUG